rnacentral:rRNA from 1 species
AUGAAGGCCUUCGGGUUGUAAAGUACUUUUGGCAGAGAAGAAAAGGUAUCCCCUAAUACGGGAUACUGCUGACGGUAUCUGCAGAAUAAGCACCGGCUAACUACGUGCCAGCAGCCGCGGUAAUACGUAGGGUGCAAGCGUUAAUCGGAAUUACUGGGCGUAAAGCGUGUGUAGGCGGUUCGGAAAGAAAGAUGUGAAAUCCCAGGGCUCAACCUUGGAACUGCAUUUUUAACUGCCGAGCUAGAGUAUGUCAGAGGGGGGUAGAAUUCCACGUGUAGCAGUGAAAUGCGUAGAUAUGUGGAGGAAUACCGAUGGCGAAGGCAGCCCCCUGGGAUAAUACUGACGCUCAGACACGAAAGCGUGGGGAGCAAACAGGAUUAGAUACCCUGGUAGUCCACGCCCUAAACGAUGUCAACUAGCUGUUGGGGCCGUUAGGCCUUAGUAGCGCAGCUAACGCGUGAAGUUGACCGCCUGGGGAGUACGGUCGCAAGAUUAAAACUCAAAGGAAUUGACGGGGACCCGCACAAGCGGUGGAUGAUGUGGAUUAAUUCGAUGCAACGCGAAAAACCUUACCUACCCUUGACAUGUCUGGAAAGCCGAAGAGAUUUGGCCGUGCUCGCAAGAGAACCGGAACACAGGUGCUGCAUGGCUGUCGUCAGCUCGUGUCGUGAGAUGUUGGGUUAAGUCCCGCAACGAGCGCAACCCUUGUCAUUAGUUGCUACGCAAGAGCACUCUAAUGAGACUGCCGGUGACAAACCGGAGGAAGGUGGGGAUGACGUCAAGUCCUCAUGGCCCUUAUGGGUAGGGCUUCACACGUCAUACAAUGGUCGGGACAGAGGGUCGCCAACCCGCGAGGGGGAGCCAAUCUCAGAAACCCGAUCGUAGUCCGGAUCGCAGUCUGCAACUCGACUGCGUGAAGUCGGAAUCGCUAGUAAUCGCGGAUCAGAAUGUCGCGGUGAAUACGUUCCCGGGUCUUGUACACACCGCCCGUCACACCAUGG